AAAGGGAGACCUAAUUCGGGUAUAAGACGAAAAAAUAGUAGUCGAAACCAAGAAUCAAUCCCAAAAGGUCGGAGCGAGGCAUGAGGCUUUCAAACUAGGUUCUGGGUUCAUAAAAGACCUGAAUCAGGAACAAGGGCUAUUAGCUCAGGUGGUUAGAGCGCACCCCUGAUAAGGGUGAGGUCCCUGGUUCGAGUCCAGGAUGGCCCACCUGCACAGGUGGCAAAAACAAAAGAAGCGAGGAAUCAGCACCUUAUCUUACCUAUAUAGUAAGAGAGAAUGCUGGCUCUGAGUAAAGAGUCCAGAGGAACCUUGAAAACUGCAUAGAGCUAGGUGAAAAAGCCAAAAAAGAAGACCGCAAG
rnacentral:tRNA from 1 species